rnacentral:rRNA from 1 species
AGCAGUAGCCACGGGAAUACGAAGGGUGCAAGCGUUACUCGGAAUUACUGGGCGUAAAGCGUGCGUAGGUGGUGGUUUAAGUCCGUUGUGAAAGCCCUGGGCUCAACCUGGGAAUUGCAGUGGAUACUGGGUCACUAGAGUGUUGUAGAGGAUAGUGGAAUUUCCGGUGUAGCAGUGAAAUGCGUAGAGAUCGGAAGGAACAUCUGUGGCGAAGGCGACUAUCUGGGCCAACACUGACACUGAGGCACGAAAGCGUGGGGAGCAAACAGGAUUAGAUACCCCUGUAGUCCCUGUCUCUUAUAC